UACUAUAUUUUUCACUUUAAUUUUUCUGCCAGCUUCAGAGUAUGAAGUAGUCACUCUUCCAGUAUGAACAGGAAGAGAAGUAACAUUCCUCAGCCCUGCCUGGCCAGUGUUCCAGCCCCAAACCUUCAGGAUGUACCUUUCAGUAAAGACUUAGUUUCAAGACAGCCGGAGGAGACUCUGGUGAGACCAGAGCAACACUGUCCAUCCGGAGGGGCUUUCCGAAGGACACGGGCCCAGGAAAGCAUCUGAAGGUUUCUUGCUUUGGCUGUUCCUGUGUUUGAUACCUGACUCCCUCCAUGGUAGACAUUCACAGGCUGGAGUACUAGACUGAUGGGGCAAGGCAGAGAAAGUAAGCACAGCACCAGCAUCCACCCCUCUCUCCCAUAAUGGACAUCCAUGGGAUGGGGUCCUGGACUGAUGGGGACCAGAGAAAGUGAGCACAGCACCAGCAUCUGCCUUCUCUUUUUCCCGACUUCAGAGAUCCUGGGCACUGCGCACCAACUUCUGAUGGAAGGAGCCAACCCACCUUCAAAGUAGGAGCACAUAUCUGAAAGGCUGGGCUGGAACUUCUGCAAUCCCAGCAGUCUGAAGGUGAAGGCAGGAGAAUCUUGUGUUCCAGGCUGUCCUAGGCUGUAUAGAGAGCUGCCGCCUCAAAACGACCAACCAAGCAGUCUAACAGUAAGAGACGCCUGUGUCCACAGACAGCAAGAGGUACAGCUUAGAGCAUGACUUCUUAAACUGAGCCGGGACCCAAUGGGGAGCUGCGUCACAACGCGGAGUCGUGAAACAUUUGGCCAAAGGUUUCUGAGUGGACAAUAACCAAAAAUCAAUGCAAAAUCACAUGUGUGUUAUGACUCCGAUGUGGUUUUGGCAGCACCAGCCCAGGACCCACACAAGAACAGUUCUUCAGAAGAACGUGUAGAAGCGAGGGUUCAGCUAUCCAGAGGAGUUGUCUGGACAUGACAGUGUCUUCCUUCCGGUAAACUGGAGGGAAACUAGGCUUCUGGAACAAUCAUUCAAGCCUCGGAAACUGCGUACAGCUACACCUGCGGGGCUCUUCACAAUCUGGGGAGGUCGCCAUUUAUUUACCUUCCUUUUAAAAAAUUAGCUAACUGAAUUUCUGGCAGUGAGAUGCGGUAUCAGAAAUAGUCUCUUUGUCUACAGAGGCACAACUAAGUGAGAAGGCAACAGUACAGUACUUACCUACAUAAAAAUUAAAAUCAGCUCACUGGUCUCUAAUCUUCCCUGAUUUCAAGUCUUGCAUUUUAAAGAAAUUACAAAGAAAGAAACACUCUCAAACAUAACAAUUUUCCCAGGCUCCAAGUGGACCUAAAUUUGGAAUGCCUGAAAUCAAAAGCACUGAUAAUGGAUUUGCUCAAAUCAAGAAGAAUGAAUCCAUCCUUGCUAGAAUGAACAAAAAAUGAACACAGCCUUUAGUUUAAGUAGCAUGUGCUGGGUUUUCUAAUUCUCUCCUUCUCUACCAGUUGUGUGAAAAGCAUUCCACCCUUUUGUUUCUGUGUUAGCAAGUUUCACCACAGAAACAAAUAAUAUAUAAAGAAAUAGAAAUGUAGACAUGAAGAUAUUAAUAGGUGUA